UUUGUUAACAUUCCAAUUGUCUUAAUCAUCACAACUGUACAUGUUGACUAACAAUCUUCAUCAUCACCAAGUAAUUACUCCAAAAUUUGUCUAAACUAAUAUUAAAAACAUUCUAUACAUUCAAGACCCAUUCUAAGCAAUAAACUCCUUGGAAGUGAUCAUGGCUUGCAAGUGACUCUUAUAAUCAUGCAAAUUCUUCAUUAAUAAAAUUAAUAGCAAAACAUUUCUCACUAGGACAACAAUUAACCCAAAAUCCAUUUGUGAUUGUCGAAACCAUUUUUUAUUGAAUUUGAACAACGGGAAUUGACUUUGAAAAUAGAGUCGCCACCAAUCUUUUAUUGAGGUGUGAUCAAAUCACCUUAAAAAUGAUUUUUGGUCUACGAAUUUUGAGAAAACAAGUCCGGAAGUCGGUUACGCACGAGGAAGUGUUAGCACCCUCGUGACGCCUAAAAUUGGUACCGAAUUGAUUGUUUAAUGUCUUAGUGUCGAAACUUGAAAAGAUUUUUAAAUACGAUCCCAUGAAAUGAAAACUUAAAUAAUUGAAUUGGCUAAAUAGACGGGGACCCAUUUCAAAUAAAUAAACUGUCACACUCAGUUAGUUAGAGUACAAUAGUUCAAUCUUCGAAGUUAGAUUUGUCCUUUUUUAAUUUUUUUUAAAAACCAUAUUGUAGAGCCCAAAUAUGCCCGGGCCCAAUAAAAUUAAAACCCAAGACCCAAACAUCAAGCCCAAAAAUACCAACAGCCCAGCAAGCCCAAAGCUUAACAAAAUUUCAGCCAAAUCAAAAAUCAAAACCCUAGCCGCAUAGCAGCCACCAGCAAGACCCCAGCCGUCGCACGUCUCGGGACUGGCCUCCUCCAUGCGCGCCGUUUUCCCCCACGUUCGCCUGCAAAACGGACUCAAGGAGUCCCAUAGAGAGGAAACAGUAAAGAAUAAUAGCAAAAUCGGGACAACAGUUUGAUUUUUUUUGGCUAUAUAAAGGCUGAUUCUUAUUGUAAAAAUGGGGGGAGGGAAACUUUUGUUUUUUCAGUGUGAGAGAUAUACAAGAAAUAAAAAGAAAUACUGAGGAAAAAAUUUCUUGAAGGUGAAUUGGGUUUUUACAUUUUCUAUUCUGUUUAUUAUUAUUUUAUUUUGUUUUCUAAAGAAACGGUACAAAAGAGGAAAGGGAUAAUACCUUCGAGGAUUGGCCGUUGAACCACGUUCGCCUUGCUCAGAUCGGAGUUUGGCGGUGCGCUGGGAAUUGGCUCGCCUGAGAAUGGCGGCAGUGGGGGUUGGGGGUUAAAAGAAACCCUAGCAAAGAACUUUUUUUUUCUCUGCUGCAAAUGCUCUGUUUUUUUUAGAAAAAAAACUGCUUUAAGUAAAGACACCGAAACGGUGUCGUUCGGCUGAGGCAGGCCCGCGCGGUGACCCGACCCGGAGGGGAGGAUCCGCGCGUCUUGGGCCUAGAUGGUACAUUUCGCGUUUGGUCCCUGAGUUUUUAAAAGUGUGUUUAAAUCAAUUUCUUUGUUUCUCUUAAAUUUGGCCACGCGCUUUAUUUCCGUUUCAUUUGGAUCCCCAUUGAAACGCAACAUUUUAGGGAAAAGGGUUAAUAUCCCAUUUGAUCCCCCUCUGUUCUGUGCGUGUUCAAUAGGGUUCCUAUAUUUGUAUUUAUUCCAAAUUUGCUCUUAAAUUUUCUUGAGUUUCAAAUUAGUCAUUCUGUUAUUAUUAUUAUUAUUAUUAUUAUUAUUAUUAUUAUUAUCAACAUGUAUAUUUUUAAAUGCCCAGCCUCAUUAUAUGUACAUGUAUGCAUUUUUAAUAUAUAUAUAUUUUUUAAGUUUUAUACGCAGGCAUAUAUUUCGUUCUUACAUUUUCAAAAUUUCUUUUGUAUAGUUUUUUUUUGUUUCUUUUUUUUGUUUCAUAUGUUUUAUAUGUUAUACAUACUUACACAUUUCUUUAUUUUGUAAAUAUAGAUAUACAUAACUUUAUAUAUAUAUUUUUCACAUGUACAUAUUAUAUUUUAUUUGUUAUUAUUUUAUUUUCACCAUUCUCAUAUCUUAUAAUGCAUAUACAUUUUAUAAUUUAAAGUUCACAUAUAUUUUCUAUAAUAUAUUUACGUAUACGUUUUUCCUUUAAAAUCAUUAAAUAUUUUAUUGUUUCUAUAAUCUGCUAUUUUAUGUACAUAUACAUGUAAUUUUUGUAAAAUAAACAUACAUAUUUUCUUAGAAGUUAUUAUGGGUUUUACAUAUUUCAUUGUUUUUAUAAGUAUACCUAUAUGUAAGUGUUCUAUUAUGCAUACACGUAUUUCCAAAUUUACUUACAUGUUGUACGUAUUUAUGUAUAUAUACAUUUGUUGUAUAUAUAUAUAUAUAUUUAGCUCAUGUUAAAGUAUUUGUUUUAUGAGGUAUAUUAACUUUUUUAUCAUUUUUUCUAAAAAAGGGAAAAUAUAUUUGGUUUUGUCAAUACAUCAAAAUUAUUUUCUCUCGAUUCAAAGUUUUUUUUGAAUAAAAGCAUUAUUCGAAGUUUGGGGUUUUCAAGGGAAAUUGAGCCCUAACGUAUUGAGUUUUGAUUUUCUUUGUUAAUCUUAAAUAACCGAAGAUAUUCUUUAUUCAAAAUGCAUAAGCAUAAAAAUCAUUUUUGGGAACUUAACCUGUUGUGCCCUAACGUAUUGGGUGUGGCAUGUUACUUUCUCAAAGUGAAGAUUUUCGUAUAAAAUAAAAGUGAUAUUCAAGUUUGGGGAUUAUGAGGAAUUGUACCCUAACGUAUUGGGACUCGAUUUCUUUACAUGACUUGAACAAUUGAUUAUCCUUUUGUCAAUUUCACCAUUCAAGCUUAUUUUAAUAUCUUUUUUAACUUUCGACACAAAGACAUUAAAUAGUCAAUUUGGUACCGAUUUUUGGGUGUUACGAGGGUGCUAACCCUUCCUCGUGCGUAACUGACUCCCGAACCUGUUUUUAAAAUUCGCAGACCAAAAUGAUUUUUGAGGUGGGCCGGUCACACCUUAAUAAAUGAUCGGUGGCGACUCCAGUUUUAUUUUUUAACGUCGACAACUUAAAUUUUUGUUUUCAAAAAAACGGUUUCGACAGCUUGGCGACUCACUGGGGACAUUUGAGAGUCGAGCCAUAAACUGAUUAUAUUUGCCUUUGUGUCGAAAAUCAAAAGUUUUAAAAAAUUCAUGAGUUCCCUUCGCAUUUAUUGUUUUUUUUUUCAUGUUGGUAUGUUGGUAGUUUUGCAUUUGCAUUUUGCAUUUUACCCUUUAAGUGGGAGCGAGAAACUAGUCCUUCGUGAGGUUUUCACCUCCGUGCAGGGUAGUGGACCGCUUCCGGGAUACAUCCGUACCUAUGUCUUCGUGAGAUUUUCAUCUCCGUACAGCCAUAGGGAAAUGUAUUCCCCUGAACUGAACUCGAUUCAUAUGAGCCUAUAAUGGGUGAUGAUCGAGGAAUCUGCUGGUUCGGGUACCUUUACCUUAGUAGCCAAACCGCAUAUAGUGAACCUUAGGAACUUACCCUAGGUAGAAUUACUCUAAACCUUAGUAGAUACCUGACUAGGAGUUUUUAUUAUUUCUUGAUUGUAUUGGAUUUAAUGUUUAUACCCGAUACUAACCCGUUUUGUUUUGUUUUGGUUAUGAUUGCAUUGCAUUUGCAUUGUAGAAAAGAGAUGUUGAUUCAAGUUUGAUUACUAAUUUAGAAAGCCUAUCAUAAGAAAACAGGUUUCUUGAUAAAAUGGAAAAUAGUACGGCAGCCUGAAUAUAUUCCAAGAAAUACAAGAAGGGCGAUGGAAGAAUUCGUGACUUUACUUUAGGGCCCGAGGAUUCAAGAUGAUUUGUCUAAGAGCUUUCAACAUUCCAAAUUUCUUAAAGAAGCUAAUGAGCAUUACGGGGAUAGGUAGACAACGGAUUGCGACCAGAAUCAAGCAGAAGGAGCUAGCAGUGACAUCCAUUGGAAGUUCGCGAGGUUUAUCUUAACAUCCGGAUGAAAAAGGAGAAGAUAUCUUUGUUUCGAGUAUGAGGGAAAAGCCGUAUAUAUAUCCGCUUUAUGUAAAGAAAUUUGUCCUCUAGUAAGGUUUUCUAAAUGGAAUUGAAUCAGAAUCAACGUCUCUUUAUGCAUUCAUUUCAUGCAUUCGCAUUUCAUUACAUCAUAUGCAUCAAAGAUUAUUCAAAGAUACUAAUUAACUAAAAUCAUUGCUCAGUUAACCUGGAAUCCAACCAACCAACCCAACACCGAUACGGCACUCGAGCAAAGACAAAAGAUAUGGAUCAGAGAUUAGAAAAGCUCAAACAGUACCAGAAGGAGAUGCAAGAUCGGCUUCAGCUACAAAUGCAGGAGCGGCUAGACAAGAUGAAACAAGAGAUGUCUGAGAAGAUGCGAGAAUCCCAAGAAGAUAUAGUGGCAAAGUUAACCCGACUGAUAACUAAGGGAGGUGACAAAGGAAAGGGCCCCAUGGCAGAUGUCGAUGAAGGAAAUGAUGAUGAACUUUUCUAUCCUCCAGGUUUCACCCCUCCACAUGAGCGAGCUCAAGCUGAAUACCCACGCAAAUCAACUGUCACCAUCAUGCCUCAGCAAUUUCGAACUGGUGUUUCGAACCUCCAAACUGGGCUGGGUUUUAAUCUCGAAAAUAACCCCGUGAACCCCGCCAUUCCGGACUUUGACGAAGUGGCUGAGAAGGAAAGAAUAAAGGUGGAAUUACCGAAACAGUUAGAGGAUCGAUGCAAGUGGCUCGAGGAGAAGUUCAAAGCGAUGGAAGUCACUGAAAGUUAUCGAGGCAUUGAUGCAAAAGAGCUGAGUUUAGUGCCAGAUCUUGUUCUCCCUCAUAAGUUUAAGAUGCCUGAAUUCGAGAAGUACAAUGGGACGACUUGCCCAGAGGAUCAUAUCACCAUGUUCUGCAGGUGAAUGGCUGGAUACGUUAAUAAUGACCAGCUAUUAAUACAUUGCUUCCAAGACAGCCUUGCAGGGGCAGCAUCCAAGUGGUACAAUCAGUUGAGUCGAGCUACGAUUGGUUCAUGGAGGGACUUGGCGCAAGUAUUCAUGAAACAAUAUAGUCAUGUGACAGACAUGGCUCCUGAUAGAAUCACCCUUCAAAACAUGGAGAAGAAGCCGAGCGAAAGCUUUAGGCAGUACGCACAGAGAUGGAGGGAGGUCGCGGUCCAAGUUCAGCCGCCGCUCUUGGAAAAGGAAAUGACUAUGUUGUUUAUUAACACACUAAAAGCCCCAUUCAUUACGCAUAUGUUAGGAAAUGCUACAAAAAGCUUUCCUGACAUAAUUAUGAAUGGUGAAAUGAUCGAAAAUGCGAUAAGAAGUGGGAAAAUUGAUAUAGAGGAGAGUAACAAGAGGUAAGUCUCAAAAAGAAGAGAAAAUGAGGUGAACAACACGGGUUACUCUAAAUCAGUUACUGUUCAGCCAAGAAAGGUGGUUGGUAAUCAACAAAAUCCAUCGAGGCAAGAUUCCGGCAUAAAGACUGAAAAAUUCCAGUUUACACCAAUCCCAGUACCGUAUAAGGAACUGUAUCAAAAUUUGUUUGAUGCACAUGUUGUUUCCCCUUUUCAUGUGAAGCCUCUACAACCUCCGUAUCCCGAAUGGUAUGAUGCGAACACACAAUGUGACUACCACGCGGGAAUUACGGGACACUCGAUUGAGAAUUGCACUGCCUUCAAGAAGCAAGUUGAAAGACUUAUCAACAUGGGUAUUAUCAAGUUUGGUGACUCAUCUAACGCAGGAAAUCCGCUACCCAAUCAUGAUUGAGGAUGGAGGGACUGCAAUAUAUGAAGAAGUGGUGAGAAAUUUGCACAUCGAUGCCAUAUAUGCAGACACAAUUUAAAGGGUCAUUGUUAGAUAUUUUCCUUAGAGGUGUUCUAAAUAAUGAGACUGCGGAGGAAACCCCUGAAGUAUUUAGAGUCUGUUAGAGUAAUGUUCAGAACACACUUGUUGCUUUCAGCCUAGAAGCAAUAAGGAUUUCUUUGUGAAAUAAGCUCACGUCUGAACAUUAUUAUUUUAAUGAAAUACAUUAUUGCAAUCAUCUUUGAGCAAAUGUUCUUUCAUUCUUUACAUUUUUUUCAUUUUUUUUGGAUUUUUUCUGCCAAACCAUUCAUUCAUAUUAUUCAUACAUUCUUUUGUAUAUUCACGGAUACCUGCUAUGGGUCCCCAGAUAUCAAUGUCAUGAGUAAUGCUGCUACAGACUCAAAAUUUCCUUUUGAGUGAGACAUGUGUUUAGAGGGGUCUCAUGACUUUGAAGAUAACAUAGAUUGUAGCUUAUCUCCAGACUUGAGGAGGGUGAUAGAAUAAGAGGAUAGACAGAUCCUACAUCACAAUGAAUUAUCAGAAAUUGUGAGCUUGGUGAAGAUUGGAAUUGACAUGAUCACAAAGACGAGGCGGGACCUUAUAGAGCUACCACAAGAAUUCAAUGAUGUCUUCACAUGGUCUUACCUAGAUAUGCUCGGGUUAAGCACUAGCUUGUAAUCUGAAUAACAGCAUGAUGUUAGAAAUGGGCAGUAGGUUCAACAUCGAUGCUAUGAACGAUGUAGUAAACUUUCUUUGCUCGGGCAAUAUCCUCCUAUUUGGCUUAUCAUAGCUUUACUCAUUGAAGUCGAAUUGUCAUUUCUCUACAUUUUAUCCUAAGAGGAAGACCCGAAGGUCCGUCCCAAAGAAUUUGACAAGAGGGAACUAAUGUUGAAAAAGAUCCUUCCUAUACAAAAGGAUUUUAGAGGAAGAUAGAGGCCAAAUUAGAAGGGUCUAUAUGUUAUAAAGAAAGCCUUUUUUGGAGAAGCUUUGAUCUUGAGUGAGAUGGAUGGUAAAAAUUUACAAAGUCCUGUAAACUCAGAUUCAGUCAGGAAAUACUCUGCUUAAAAAAGGUGGGACCAAGGUGAAAGCCUACAAAGGGCGCUUUGAGUCAAAAAAAAAAGAGACCAGGGUGAAACCCUACAAAAGGAGCCUUGAGUAAAAAAAAAGGAGAGGCUAAUGUGAAAACUCGCAAAGGGCGCCUUAGACCAAAGGGGAUUUGAGUUGAAAACCCGAAAAAGGGCAGCUCAAAUGUUGAUCAGAAUGGGGCAUGAAGUAAUCAGAGCAGCUCAAAUACUGAUCAGAAUGGGAUAUACAGUGGUCUUGCUAUACCAGAAUCAGCAGGAAAGGGUAUGCGACAUCUUGGGGCAUCGAUAGAGUAUGAUAGAUCUCCUAAACACAUGUUAAGCUCAAAAUCGUCUUCAGAAAGUUUGUACAGAGAAGUUCAAGCUGCGAUGUCUGGGGCACCUAAUCUUUAUACCGUUUUUGCUAUUUUUGGAACACUUCAUUCAUUGCCAAGAUACACAUUCCUAAAUCAAUUUCUUUGUUAUCCAUCUUUAUUGUCCUUGAUAAUUUAUUCAUUUCGAGCUAUGCUCAGAGCCAACUCUAUUCUUAUCCAUGAUCUUUUUGCAAGCAUGUUGCAUUAGAAUAAUGGUUAAUAGACUAAUAAAACUUUCACAAGGGAAGUUUUGCAUAUUACUCUAGAAGUUUCUAAAUAAUGCAGGAACCUGAAACAGGACUAUUGUUUAGAAUGCACCAGGUUGGAAAUCUAAUAAGGAAAUGUCUAAAUUCAGACUAUCCCUUUAAAUUUUGUUACCUAAAACAUCGAUUGGACAAAAUGGCAAUGUGUCAUGUUGGUGACAAGGCUUCAAUGAACAAGCAGGCAAUGAUCACCGAAUAACAAGAAGAAGUUGUUCUUGGAGAGGAAUAUUCUUCAUUUGUGCAUGAGAAUUUGGUAUGACACCCUGGGAAUGGUGUAAGGGACCAAAGAGUUUCAUAUCCUGUAUCCUUGAAUUGUGAUAGUAGAGGAUUGAGAAAAGACCAAAUCUUUUUACUCUUGGGUUACAACGGGAGAAAGAUGGUAUAAAUUUUGCAUCCCAAUGGAUCAAACUUGGAGGUUUACAGUGGGGGGCAAUCUGGUCAAGAGUUUCUUUUGAGACGCCAGCUGAGCAAGAGGGUGCUAUAGCACAUUAGCGAUGAAACUUUAAAUAAACUUUGAGUAAUGAUAACCUAAGUGAAAAUGAGGGAUCAUUCUCGAAAAAAUGACAUUCUGCAUUCAUUCAAAUGUCAUUCAUACACGCCUAGUUAGGAGCAUUUGAUUCAUUUGAUCAUGACAUCCUAAUCAUUUGGCAUAGUUAGGUUCAUAAAGUGAAUUAUACAGGUCAUGUUCCCCAGAGAACAGAUCGGUGAAAUCAUAAAGCCUUAUCUUCCUGAACAACAGUGGAGCAGGUUGAAAAGCAGCAGAUCUUGUCUUCAUGUACUGGCGUGAAGUAGAUCAAAGAUAACAGAUCUCGCCUUCCCAUGCUGGUGGCGAAGCAGAUCGAAGGAAUACAGAUCUUGUCUUCAUGUACUGGCGUGAAGUAGAUCAAAUAUACAGAUCUCGCAUUCCCAUACUGGUGGCGAAGCAGAUCGAAAAAAAGUAGAUAUUGUCUUCAUGUAUCAGCGUGAAGUAGAUCAAAGUCAACAGAUCUUGUCUCCCCAUACUGGUGGUGGAGUAGAUAAAAGAAAGCAAAUCUUGUCUUCAUGUAUCGGCGUGAAGUAGAUCAAAGUCAACAGAUCUUGUCUUCCCAUAUUGGUGGCGUAGCAGAUCAAAGAAAGCAGAUCUUGUCUUCAUGUACUGGCGUGAAGUAGAUCAAAGAAACAGAUCUUGUCUCCCCAUACUGGUGGUGGAGUAGGUUGAAGAAAAUAGAUCGUGUCUUCAUGUACUGGCGUGAAAGAGAUCAAAGAUAGUAGGUCAUGUCUUCCUAUAUUGGUAGCGAAGUGGAUCGAAUAUACAUAUUUUAUCUUCCCAUACCGGCGGCGAAGUAGAUUGAAGAUUACAGAUCUUGCCUCCCUAAGCAGUAGUGAAGCAGAUCGAAGAUGGCGGAUUUUACCUCCCUGAAGUUGCAGUGGAGUAUAUUGAAGCCAGUAAUUCUACCUCCCCGGUCGGCAGUGGAAUCGAUUGAAAAAGCAGAUCCCGUCUUCAUGUACUGGCAUGAAGGAGAUCAAAGUUAGUAGGUCCUGUCUUCCUGUAUUGGUAGCAAAGUGGAUCAAAUAUACAUAUUUUAUCUUCCCAUACCGGCGGCGAAGUAGAUUGAAGAUUACAGAUCUUGCCUCCCUAAGCAGUAGUGGAGCAGAUCGAAGAUGGCGGAUUUUACCUCCCUGAAGUUACAGUGGAGUAUAUUGAAGCCAGCAAUUCUACCUCCCCGGUCGGCAGUGGAAUCGAUUGAAAAAGCAGAUCUUGUCUUCAUGUAUUGGCGUGAAGUAUAUCGAAGAAAGCAGAUAUUGUCUUCCCAUACUGGUGGUGAACUAUUUGAAGCUACAAGUCUUACCUCCCUGAAGUUGCAGUGGAGCAGACAAAAGUAACCAAUCCUAUCUCCUUGAAGUUGCGAUGGAGUGGAUUAAAACCGCAGAUCUCAUCUCUCUGAAGUUGCAGUAGAGCAGAUCGCGUCAGAUUUACCCUUAAGUUGUAGCUGAACAAAUUAAAGCUACAGGUCUUAUCUCCCUGAAGUUGCAGUGGAGCAGAUUAAAGUUAGCAAAUUUAGUUCUUUUGAGAAGCUACAACAUACGAAUCCUAUCUCCCUAACAUACAUUGCAGUGGAGUAGAUUGAAGCACCAGUUCUUAUACCUCUGAAGAUGCAGUAGGAGGGAAUGAGACUAUUUGAAGUAAAAAAGUACUAAAGAAGUCGAGCCUCAAUAAGGCCGGGCACAAUUGGCUUUUAGUCUUUACUCUGUUCCCGUUACACGACAACGAGCAAAGAGGGGCAGCUGUAGAGCCCAAAUAUGCCCGGGCCCAAUAAAAUUAAAACCCAAGAUCCAAACAUCAGGCCCAAAAAUACCAACAGCCCAGCAAGCCCAAAGCUUAACAAAAUUUCAGCCAAAUCAAAAAUCAAAACCCUAGCCGCAUAGCAGCCACCAGCAAGACCCCAGCCAUCGCACGUCUUGGGACUGACCUCCUCUAUGCGCGCCGUUUUCCCCCACGUUCGCCUAUAAAACGGACUCAAGGAGUCCCAUAGAGAGAAAACAGUAAAGAAUAAUAGCAAAAUCGGGAUAAAAGUUUGAUUUUUUUUUGCUAUAUAAAGGCUGAUUCUUAUUGUAAAAAUGGGGGGAUGGAAAUUUUUGUUUUUUCAGUGUGAGAGAUAUACAAGAAAUAAAAAGAAAUAAUGAGGAAAAAAUUUCUUGAAGGUGAAUUGGGUUUUUACAUUUUCUAUUCUGUUUAUUAUUAUUUUAUUUUGUUUUCUAAAGAAACAGUACAAAAGAGAAGAGGGAUAAUACCUUCGAGGAUUGGCCGUUGAACCACGUUCACCUUGCUCAGAUCGGAGUUUGGCGGUGCGCUGGGAAUUGGCUCGCCUGAGAAUGGCGGCAGUGGGGGUUGGGGGUUAAAAAAACCCUAGCAAAGAACUUUUUUUUC
rnacentral:lncRNA from 1 species